GGUAUAUGCUUGUCUCAAAGACUAAGCCAUGCAAGUCUAAGUAUAAGUUAUUCUGAAGACGAAACUGCGAAUGGCUCGGUAAAACAGCAAUAAUUUCUUCGGUGAUGAGUUUACUCACGGAUAUCCGUAGUAAUUCUAGAGCUAAUACGUGCUGAGAAAAGGUGGGGCUCACGCUCCAUCGUGCCGUUUAGAUAACAACACCAACAUUUGGUGAUUCAUAAUCGUCUUUCUGAUCGCCUCGUGCGACGCACCGUUCAAAUUUCUGACCUAUCAACUUUCGAUGGUAAGGUAGUGUCUUACCAUGGUGGCAACGGGUAACGGACCGUGGGUGCGGGACUCCGGAGAGGGAGCCUGAGAAACGGCUACCACAUCCAAGGAAGGCAGCAGGCGCGCAACUUGCCCAAUCCAGACUCUGGGAGGCAGUGACAAGAAAUAUCAAUAGGGGAUCCUAUGGGUCUUCUAAUUGGAAUGAGAACAAGCUAAACAGCUUAUCGAGAAUCCAGCAGAGGGCAAGUCUGGUGCCAGCAGCCGCGGUAAUUCCAGCUCUGUAAGCGUAUACCAAAGUUGUUGCAGUUAAAACGCUCGUAGUCGGAAUUUGGCAGUUCCGGAAGUGUGCACGUCGUGUGCGCACUUUGCAGGGACUGCUUUUGUGGUCUUGCGUAGGAUGAGGCACUUUUAUUAGUGAACGUCCUCACGCAACCACUCUUUACUGUGAGAAAAUCAGAGUGCUCAAAGCAGCAUUUGCCGUGAAUGUAUUAGCAUGGAAUAAUAGAUAGGACUCGGUUCUAUUUUGUGGUUUGUUGGGACUGAGUAAUGAUUAA
rnacentral:rRNA from 1 species